AGUUAAUUUUGCCACCGACUUCUAGGCCGAUGCACCUAAAAUUAGUAUUUUUUUUGCUUUUUAGUGUUUUGGGAAGUCGGUUUAAUUUUUUUGUAAAAAAGUUAUUUAUUUAAAGCUUUUCAGUGAUACGAAUAGUUGUCACUAUCCAUACAAGUGGGAAGUUCUCAUCAAUACAAAGAAUAUAAGUCCAAACGAGGUAUUUUACAUAUUCAGUUGUCCAGUUCCCUCGACUUUCUCUGGUCUCCAUCAUCAGGUCAGCUCCAAACCUUCACUGUUGCAUAGGUCUUGUCAAUACGAAUAAUUUAAGCCCAAACACGAGGUAGUUUACAUAUUCAGUUGUCGAGUUCCCUCGACUUUCUCUGGUCUCCAUCAUCAGGUCAGCUCCAAACCUUCACUGUUGCAAAGGUCUUGUCAAUACAAAUAAUUUAAGCCCAAACACGAGGUAGUUUACAUAUUCAGUUGUCGAGUUCCCUCGACUUUCUCUGGUCUCCAUCAUCAGGUCAGCUCCAAACCUUCACUGUUGCAAAGGUCUUGUCAAUACAAAUAAUUUAAGCCCAAACACGAGGUAGUUUACAUAUUCAGUUGUCGAGUUCCCUGGACCCUCUCUGGUCUCCAUCAUCAGGUCAGCUCCAAAUCUUCACAGUUGAAUAGUGCUUUUAGGCGUACACCUGAGUGUCAAGUUUUUACCCUAUGUAUACCUACAACUUUCGAAGGUUGCCCUCGAUUUCUCAGGGUUUCCAUCAUCAGAUCCUGACCUGAUGACUAUGGGACCAACUGGCAGCUAUUCCGAGUCGAACAAAAAAAGAAUCACGUAAAUCGGUCUAUAAACCUCGGAGUAAUCGAUGUGUAUGUGUAACCACCUCCUUU
rnacentral:lncRNA from 1 species